GACGAACGCUGGCGGCGUGCUUAACACAUGCAAGUCGAACGAAGUGGCGAACGGGUGAGUAACGCGUAAUCAACCUGCCCUCCAGAGGGGGACAACAGUUGGAAACGACUGCUAAUACCGCAUACUGAAGGAGGGGAUUGCGUCUGAUUAGCUAGUUGGAGGGGUAACGGCCCACCAAGGCGAUGAUCAGUAGCCGGUCUGAGAGGAUGGAAUGCAAAAUGGGGACUGGAACUCGGCCCAGACGCCUACGGGAGGCAGCAGUGGGGGAUCUUCCGCAAAGGACGAAAAUCUGGCGGAGCAACGCCGCGUGAGUGAUGACGGCCUUCGGGUUGUAAAGCUCUGUUAAUCGGGACACGGUACCGGAAUAGAAAGCCACGGCUAACUACGUGCCAGCAGCCGCGGUAAUUC
rnacentral:rRNA from 1 species